CCUGCCCAGCUGACUAAUAUUCNACGGCCGCGGUAUCCUAACCGNGCAAAGGUAGCAUAAUCNCUUGCCCGUUAAUUGCGGGCUAGAAUGAAAGGAUCUACGAAAUAAAAACUGUCUCUAUAAGCCUGAUAAAAUUAACCUCUAACUGAAGACUGUUAGAUACCGUCGAAGGACAAGAAGACCCUAUAGAGCUUCAUUUUAAUAGAAAAAUAAUAUCCUAAUAAAAUUCGGUUGGGGCGACCCGGGAUCAAAUAAUCAUCCCGCAAAACCAGAUAAAUAAAUCUCCAUAAUGACCCUUAAUUAAGAUCAAGAGAACAAGCUACCUUAGGGAUAACAGGCUAAUCCCACUAAAGAGUCCUUAUCAAUAGUGGGGUUUGGCACCUCGAUGUUGGCUUAGGGAAUCUAUGCGGCGCAAAAGUCACAUAAAGAUGGUUUGUUCAACCAAAAAUACCCUACGUGAUCUGAGUUCAGACCGGA
rnacentral:rRNA from 1 species